UUAAAGUGGAUUUUUCCUGUUUUCAGUCAGCGGUCAGUCUUCUUGUACUACUGCUUCUGUAGAGAGGUGAAAAUAAUUGACUUCAGAAAUAAAGUAGGAAGUAAAAUGAAGUGUUCAAACUGAUGAGGUGAAAACAGGCACCCCUAUUGUUUUUUUUUUUUUUUUUUUUUUUUUUUAAGUGUUUACAUUAUUUUUAUUGAUUUAAGCGCGCCUGUGAUUUCAUGAAAGUUUCACUUAUUAGAGUGCUAUUCGACAUCCAGCCGAUAGAGGGCGCGUAUCGCGCUGAUGAAGAGUAGUGUUUUGGCACACAGAGGAAGAAUAAACCUUCCUGUUGUGAUGCUAACGUCGGCUCCAUGUGUGUGCCUCCGCUAUUCUUUAUCACAGGUCACAACAGCAUCCAGCAUGGUUCCAACUUUGACUGAGUGAAGCUUCAGGAAGGAGGAUCUGAUGCAAGAUGAACCACACAGAUAGACCAACAAAAGGUUUCCCAAAGACUAUGGGUUGAGGAGGAAGUGGAAGUUUGUCGGCUUAGACCUGGUGUCAUUCCAUCAGUGUUAAACUUCCUGGCUCAUCUUGGAAGAGUACGUGCCAGAAAGACCACGACCAAGCAGCCUUGAGAUCUUAGACAGCGUCUCCCUGAGGUCCCUCUCUAUCUCCCCACACAUCCACCAACCACUGGAACACAUCUCCAAAGUUCUGCUGGGCCAGCUCAGCUUCCCCUCAGAAGAAGUGCUGCCACCUGCCAGAUGAAGGAGCCUUUUGAGAGGCAGCUGGCAUCGUGAUUGGACUGUACUUUGGUCUGUUCCAAUCCAGCUUCAGCUCCAGAGACGGCAGGCAGGACGAGUCAACGGAGGCCGGAUGGACGAAGGCAUGCAGCUGAGUACAAUCCAGAAAACAACAGAGGAGGAGUGCAGCAGCCCAGAGCCAGAACAACCAGAGUAGCAUCAUAUGUCUCUUAGAAAACAUCAUAGUAUAGCCUUUGGGAUGAAAAACACCAUCAUAUACAUCGUAUAUUGUACAAAUAACAAGUCAAAGGAAAGAGACAUACAUUGUAGAAUUGUAGUAAUUGUGGGCUGACUGAUUUACUGAUUAUCAGUAUUUUAUUUUUUACUGAUUUACGGUAAUAAAUAAAUUUAAAAAUGGCGCUACUUUGGCUCUGAACCUUUAUCUACCUGUGGUCGCUCUGUCUUCUGGAGUCAUUUGAUUGGUUAUACGUCACGAAUAAAACUCCUUUAACUUAACAUCUGUAAACAAAACAAAAACGUAUCAGCAAAGUUUUCUGUUAGUUUGUGUUCUUCUAAGUUUAACUCCAAGAUUUUAAAUACUUUCAUUUACUGCAAAUGAAUAUCUACUCCAAAGGUCUCACUAAUAAUCAUUAUCAGCCUUAAAAACCCACAAAACACCCCUCUAUACUGGACCACACUUAGUACAGUCCGGUUCCCCCUUCUAUAAAUCUACUUGGAAUCUUCCACUUCCUGUUUGUCAAAGUGGCCUUCUACCUGGACAGGUUUUUUUGGAACUCAUGCAACAAACAUUUUGGGUAACUGCAUUUUAAUAUGGAUGGAUGACACUGAAUUAGAGUCUGUUUUAAUGAGACUGAGUUAAGAUGUGUAGCUCUGUCGUUAAAUAGGAAAUUAUUUCUCUGAAUUCACAGAGAAAAGUCUGAAAUGUUUGCUAGGUUAGCGUCCCACAUGUUCUUUGGCUCAGCUAAAGCUAACUCUCUCCAACUUCUGGAUCUCUUGAGUUGCUUGUUGUUAAAAUAUCUUGCUAGAGGUGCUGAAGCUCAGAAAGUCUGAGAUGUUUGUUCAAAAUAAGCUCAUUCUCAAGUCUGAUCUGAACUGUCCUCUUUUGUUUGAACUUUCCCUAAACUUAGCAGUUAAUGACAGAGCAGCACAUCCAGACUCAGUCUCAUUUAUGUAGAGAUUAAACUUCAGUGUCAUUCAUUGAUGUUAAAGUGCAGUUUUUCAAAUGUUUGUUGCACAUGCUCCCGACCAAACCAGUCCAGGUGGAAGACGAUGUGAAGAGAAAGCUCCAGAGGAUGAAUAUCACACAUUUACGUUGGAAAUAAAUGUCCUUUAAUUAGA